rnacentral:rRNA from 1 species
CCUACGGGCGGCAGCAGUAGGGAAUCUUCCACAAUGGACGAAAGUCUGAUGGAGCAACGCCGCGUGAGUGAAGAAGGGUUUCGGCUCGUAAAGCUCUGUCGGUAGGGAAGAAAGAUAGUGGCAGCAACCGGCCUUUAUUUGACGGUAAUUCCUUAGAAAGUCACGGCUAACUACGUGCCAGCAGCCGCGGUAAUACGUAGGUCGCAAGCGUUGUUCGGAAUUAUUGGGCGUAAAGCGAGCGUAGGCGGUUGUAUAAGUUGGGUGUGAAAGCCGUCGGCUCAACCGGGGAAUAGACGCGGAAACUGUUGAACUUGAGUGCGGGAGAGGAGAGUGGAACUCCAGGUGUAGCAGUGAAAUGCGUAGAUAUAUGGAAGAACACCAGUGGCGAAGGCGG